UUACCAAAUGUAUAAAGUGUGCCCAAGGAAAGAUGUACUAAAACUCCUCCACAUAUUGCCAAAAUUCCUUUAAAACGUGGCCUUAAAACCAUGAUUUAAUAGAAUGUAAUAUCCAUUGGUAAAAUCUGGUAAAAUGUUGCGACUUUCGUCUCUGUGCUUGCGUGCGAUCACGUUACUUGAAGAUGACUAACAUGAGUUUCCGAUUUAACUAGAUUAUUUCAAUAAAUUAUAAUACAUAAUAUCUUUCGCCGAACAUAACUUCGGCCCCUUCGAACAUUCCUUUUUCGUUGUAGUCUUGUUGGAAACCAUUGGCGUCGAAAGAUCAAUAAGUGUGGG